GCGGAUUAAAGGUGGCCUUUGCGCUGCCGCAGAUGGAUGAGCCUGCGUUGGAUUAGCUAGUUGGUGGGGUAAGGGCCUACCAAGGCUACGAUCCAUAGCUGAUUUGAGAGGAUGAUCAGCCACAUUGGGACUGAGACACGGCCCAAACUCCUACGGGAGGCAGCAGUGGGGAAUAUUGGACAAUGGGGGAAACCCUGAUCCAGCAAUGCCAUGUGUGUGAAGAAGGCUCUAGGGUUGUAAAGCACUUUAGUUGGGGAGGAAAGCCUGUGAGUUAAUAGCUUGCAGG
rnacentral:rRNA from 11 species